AGUGAACGCUGGCGGUAGGCCUAACACAUGCAAGUCGAACGGCAGCACAGUAAGAGCUUGCUCUUACGGGUGGCGAGUGGCGGACGGGUGAGGAAUACAUCGGAAUCUACUUUUUCGGGGGGGAUAACGUAGGGAAACUUACGCUAAUACCGCAUACGACCUACGGGUGAAAGCAGGGGAUCUUCGGACCUUGCGCGAUUGAAUGAGCCGAUGUGGGAUUAGCUAGUUGGCGGGGUAAAGGCCCACCAAGGCGACGAUCCGUAGCUGGUCUGAGAGGAUGAUAGGCCACACUGGAAGUGAGACACGGUCCAGACUCCUACGGGAGGCAGCAGUGGGGAAUAUUGGACAAUGGGCGCAAGCCUGAUCCAGCCAUACCGCGUGGGUGAAGAAGGCCUUCGGGUUGUAAAGCCCUUUUGUUGGGAAAGAAAAGCAGCAGGUUAAUACCCAGCUGUUCUGACGGUACCCAAAGAAUAAGCACCGGCUAACUUCGUG
rnacentral:rRNA from 1 species